CCCGCGCGCCUCCCCGCGCCUUACUCGAUGAAGAACACCCGGCCGUCCCUGCAGACGCCAUAGGACCAGUGCUCAGGCACACUGUGAGUGAAAGAGAAUGUAAGCUCCAAAGGACAUGGAAAAUAAAGCCCUGCCCUUUUUCCAGAGUGCAGAAGGAACUGAUGUUAAUGAUGAUGCUGUUAUACAGGCUUUGUAAGG